rnacentral:rRNA from 1 species
CGAACGCUGGCGGCGUGCUUAACACAUGCAAGUCGAGCGGAAAGGCUCCUUCGGGGGUAUCGAGCGGCGAACGGGUGAGUAACACGUGAGUAAUCUGCCCUUGGCCUUCGGGAUAGCCACCGGAAACGGUGAUUAAUACCGGAUACGACACAUCACUGCAUGGUGCGUGUGUGGAAAGUUUUUUCGGCCAGGGAUGUGCUCGCGGCCUAUCAGCUUGUUGGUGGGGUAAUGGCCUACCAAGGCUUCGACGGGUAGCCGGCCUGAGAGGGUGACCGGCCACACUGGGACUGAGACACGGCCCAGACUCCUACGGGAGGCAGCAGUGGGGAAUAUUGGACAAUGGGCGGAAGCCUGAUCCAGCAACGCCGCGUGAGGGAUGACGGCCUUCGGGUUGUAAACCUCUUUCAGCACAGACGAAGCGCAAGUGACGGUAUGUGCAGAAGAAGGACCGGCCAACUACGUGCCAGCAGCCGCGGUAAUACGUAGGGUCCGAGCGUUGUCCGGAAUUAUUGGGCGUAAAGGGCUCGUAGGCGGUUUGUCGCGUCGGGAGUGAAAACACCGGGCUUAACUCGGUGCUUGCUUCCGAUACGGGCAGACUAGAGGCAUUCAGGGGAGAACGGAAUUCCUGGUGUAGCGGUGAAAUGCGCAGAUAUCAGGAGGAACACCGGUGGCGAAGGCGGUUCUCUG